rnacentral:rRNA from 1 species
GACGACCGCUGGCGGCGUGCCUAAUACAUGCAAGUAGAACGCUGAAGGAGGAGCUUGCUUCUCUGGAUGAGUUGCGAACGGGUGAGUAACGCGUAGGUAACCUGCCUGGUAGCGGGGGAUAACUAUUGGAAACGAUAGCUAAUACCGCAUAAUAGUAGAUGUUGCAUGACAUUUGCCUAAAAGGUGCAAUUGCAUCACUACCAGAUGGACCUGCGUUGUAUUAGCUAGUUGGUGGGGUAACGGCUCACCAAGGCGACGAUACAUAGCCGACCUGAGAGGGUGAUCGGCCACACUGGGACUGAGACACGGCCCAGACUCCUACGGGAGGCAGCAGUAGGGAAUCUUCGGCAAUGGACGGAAGUCUGACCGAGCAACGCCGCGUGAGUGAAGAAGGUUUUCGGAUCGUAAAGCUCUGUUGUAAGAGAAGAACGAGUGUGAGAGUGGAAAGUUCACACUGUGACGGUAUCUUACCAGAAAGGGACGGCUAACUACGUG